GAUGAACGCUGGCGGCGUGCCUAAUACAUGCAAGUCGAACGAACUUCCGUUAAUUGAUCAGGACGUGCUUGCACUGAAUGAGAUUUUAACACGAAGUGAGUGGCGGACGGGUGAGUAACACGUGGGUAACCUGCCCAGAAGCAGGGGAUAACACCUGGAAACAGAUGCUAAUACCGUAUAACAGAGAAAACCGCCUGGUUUUCUUUUAAAAGAUGGCUCUGCUAUCACUUCUGGAUGGACCCGCGGCGCAUUAGCUAGUUGGUGAGGUAACGGCUCACCAAGGCGAUGAUGCGUAGCCGACCUGAGAGGGUAAUCGGCCACAUUGGGACUGAGACACGGCCCAGACUCCUACGGGAGGCAGCAGUAGGGAAUCUUCCACAAUGGACGCAAGUCUGAUGGAGCGACGCCGCGUGAGUGAAGAAGGGUUUCGGCUCGUAAAGCUCUGUUGUUAAAGAAGAACGUGGGUGAGAGUAACUGUUCACCCAGUGACGGUAUUUAACCAGAAAGC
rnacentral:rRNA from 1 species